rnacentral:rRNA from 1 species
UAAGAGUUUGAUCCUGGCUCAGAUUGAACGCUGGCGGCAUGCUUUACACAUGCAAGUCGGACGGCAGCACAGGGAAGCUUGCUUCUCGGGUGGCGAGUGGCGAACGGGUGAGUAACAUAUCGGAACGUACCGGGUAGCGGGGGAUAACUGAUCGAAAGAUCAGCUAAUACCGCAUACGUCUUGAGAGGGAAAGCAGGGGACCUUCGGGCCUUGCGCUAUCCGAGCGGCCGAUAUCUGAUUAGCUGGUUGGCGGGGUAAAGGCCCACCAAGGCGACGAUCAGUAGCGGGUCUGAGAGGAUGAUCCGCCACACUGGGACUGAGACACGGCCCAGACUCCUACGGGAGGCAGCAGUGGGGAAUUUUGGACAAUGGGCGCAAGCCUGAUCCAGCCAUGCCGCGUGUCUGAAGAAGGCCUUCGGGUUGUAAAGGACUUUUGUCAGGGAAGAAAAGGCCGUUGCCAAUAUCGGCGGCCGAUGACGGUACCUGAAGAAUAAGCACCGGCUAACUACGUGCCAGCAGCCGCGGUAAUACGUAGGGUGCGAGCGUUAAUCGGAAUUACUGGGCGUAAAGCGGGCGCAGACGGUUACUUAAGCAGGAUGUGAAAUCCCCGGGCUCAACCCGGGAACUGCGUUCUGAACUGGGUGACUCGAGUGUGUCAGAGGGAGGUGGAAUUCCACGUGUAGCAGUGAAAUGCGUAGAGAUGUGGAGGAAUACCGAUGGCGAAGGCAGCCUCCUGGGAUAACACUGACGUUCAUGUCCGAAAGCGUGGGUAGCAAACAGGAUUAGAUACCCUGGUAGUCCACGCCCUAAACGAUGUCAAUUAGCUGUUGGGCAACUUGAUUGCUUGGUGGCGUAGCUAACGCGUGAAAUUGACCGCCUGGGGAGUACGGUCGCAAGAUUAAAACUCAAAGGAAUUGACGGGGACCCGCACAAGCGGUGGAUGAUGUGGAUUAAUUCGAUGCAACGCGAAGAACCUUACCUGGUUUUGACAUGUGCGGAAUCCUCCGGAGACGGAGGAGUGCCUUCGGGAGCCGUAACACAGGUGCUGCAUGGCUGUCGUCAGCUCGUGUCGUGAGAUGUUGGGUUAAGUCCCGCAACGAGCGCAACCCUUGUCAUUAGUUGCCAUCAUUCGGUUGGGCACUCUAAUGAGACUGCCGGUGACAAGCCGGAGGAAGGUGGGGAUGACGUCAAGUCCUCAUGGCCCUUAUGACCAGGGCUUCACACGUCAUACAAUGGUCGGUACAGAGGGUAGCCAAGCCGCGAGGCGGAGCCAAUCUCACAAAACCGAUCGUAGUCCGGAUUGCACUCUGCAACUCGAGUGCAUGAAGUCGGAAUCGCUAGUAAUCGCAGGUCAGCAUACUGCGGUGAAUACGUUCCCGGGUCUUGUACACACCGCCCGUCACACCAUGGGAGUGGGGGAUACCAGAAGUAGGUAGGGUAACCGCAAGGAGUCCGCUUACCACGGUAUGCUUCAUGACUGGGGUGAAGUCGUAACAAGGUAGCCGUAGGGGAACCUGCGGCUGGAUCACCUCCUUU